rnacentral:lncRNA from 10 species
UCUGGCCUCAAGCAAUCCUCCUGCCUCAGCCUCCCUAACAUGCUGGGAUAACCAGAGUAAGCCACUCUGUCUGGCCAGGAAUGUCUAGUCUUCUGACAGAGGAAAAAGAGAUGAUAGCGAAUCACAUACUGGCCUGCAAUGGUUCUGCUCAUGGAUGACAGAGCAGCAGGAAAUGGACCUGAAUAUCCUCUUAGCAGCCAUGACUGGAUGCCAAAUGGGACAAAGAAGAACUUUGAAUAUGACAUCACACUACCUCCUGCACUGUGGUUCCUGAUAAGAAAUCAGCCAUUCAUCUUACUGAGACUCCUUUAGGAUUGGUGCCCUCAUAAGAAGAGAAAGACACACCAAAGCACUUCCUUUGAUGUGAAGAUACAGUGAUAAGGUAGCACUUUCCAGGAUCUUACUGUUACCCAGGAUGAAGUACUGUGGCAUGAUCACAGCUCCCUGAAGCCUCAACCUCUCCAAGCUCAGGUGAUUUCUUCCACCUCAGCCUCCAAAGUAGCUGGGACUACAGGCAUGCGCCACUACACCCAGCUAAUUUUUUUGUGUGUUUUGGAGAGAUAGGGUUUCAUCAUGUUGCCCAGGCUGGUCUGAAACUCCUGGACUCAAGCAAUCUACCCACCUGGGCCUCCCAAAGUGCUAGGAUUACAGGCAUGAGCCACUACGCCCAGCAAGGUAUUUUCUGAAAAGGUGGAUUGCUGCUUCAAAGGACCUGGACCCAGAGGCCCUGUCCAUGAAUGUUUCUUGCUUGGUUCCGAGGCCACCAAACAUACUGGCUGAGCCUUCUGUAUUCACCCUGGCCUAUCAAUGCCAUCUAUGAGAGCAGCCACACUGAGAGAGCAGCAGCAUGGAGCCUACUCAAGGGUUGGACCGACUGUGACAUUUGGGGAAGCCCCACAGAACAGCAGAGAGGGUACAGAAGCUGAUUUUGUGAUUGAUUGGAAUGGGACAGCAGUGAGGAGCCACCAUUUUGCUCACAGAUGAAAGAUCACCCAUUGUAAGAGGCUGCCUGAAGAGAAAACAAGCAAGAAAGACUGGCCAAAUUUGCAGUGCGGAGGUCCAGGAAAGAGCCUGGAUAGUGAGCAGGUUGUUUGCUGCCGACCCUAAAGAUGCAGGAAUCCAGCCAUGACCAUGCAGUUUUGGCCACACAAAUACCUUUGUUCAGAGAGGUUUUCAGCUGAGGUGACAUUUCUGCAAACAAAGUAGACUUGGCUUCCCUGGAAAGUGAUGGAACCAUUGAAAAGCCAGAAAAAUAAAGAGUUUUAAUGGAGUAAAAAUUACAAAUGCCACAUGGCAUAUGGGAUACAUUGUGAAGAAGUAAUCAUGAGACUAGAAGCCAUAGAUUUAAUAAGACUCGAUUCUCACCACAUGUACAAACAGAAUUAGGAAUAAAUCGCAUACAAUGAUCCCGGUAGAAGACACAAAACUUCCACGUCAGAGACAAAGGAUUUCAUUACUCAUGGCAAAAGCAGGAAUCAGAGCUUCACAUUUGCUGGUGUCAAUUUCUCAUACCCUCAAAUCCCAGAAGCAUGACACAAAAGAGUCCAUGAUGGAUGUCUGAAUACACAGUGGGCUGUGUUAGAAGAGAGUAACACUGAGCUCAGGUGAUCUCUGCUUCUGUAGUAAGCUUGCACUUUGUCUCGGGGGAGACAUUCCCUCAUCACUCAAGACUGUUCCCUGCAAACACAACCUUGAAUAAUGGCCCAGAAGAGUGGUGAGAGUUCUAAAUUCCUGGCACUUCCAGCAAGUAUGCUCAGGAACACCAGGGCCCAAAGUGGAUUGCCUCUUCCUAAAAAUAUGUUUAUGACUGAAGCCCUUUCCUUUAAAAUGUUAGGUGAAUAUGGAUCUUUUAUUUGCUGUCCUAUUUCAUUUUCAAUAAUUCUGAGUAUGACUCACCAAAAUGAUUUCACAAAAUAAUCUGUAGUAACCUUCAAUUUAAACAACAAACAAAUAAAAAAAAUUGCUAUGUUAAGUAUAUAUUUGAGAGUGUAAUUGCAGAAUUACAUUCUUCCUUAACAUACAAUGUGAAUGGUUUUAUAAAGUGAUUUGUCAGUUAUUUAUCAUUUGCUUUUCACAAGCGGUGUAUGAAUAUUCCCCUUGCCAUAUGUCUCCACCACCACUUGGUUUUGUCAGACAUUUAUUGUUUGAUAAUCAAAUACUGCAUAAUUAUAUCUGAUUUGGUUGUAAUUUGCAUUUUACUUAUUAUUAAUGAGGUUUAGCAUUGCCAUAUGUGUAUAAGUCAUUUGUUUUUCAUUGUCUGUUAAAUGUCUGCAUAUGACUUUGGCCCGUUUUAAAAUUGAGAUAUUUCUUUCUUUUAGAUUGAUACAUGAAUUAUUUACAUUUGUGAGUUAUGAAUAUUGUCAAUAACGUCUCACUGUAGAUCAAUUUUUCACUGAAUUUCUGGUAUCAUUUUAUAAAUUAAAUUUAUUUUAAUGUUUCAAGUAUUCUAUUUUAAACUGAUAUUUUAUGGUAUUUGUCAUGUAUAAGAACUCAUUCUAGAUCAUUAGUCAUAAAGAUAUUCAUCUAAAUUUUCUUCAAAACUGUUAAAUGUCUUUAACAUUUAAGUCCUAAAUACAUCUGAACUGGUCCAAUAAUCCAAAUGAAUCAAAUAUCUAAGAAAAACUGUAACAAAGGAAGAGACAAAUCUAUAGAGAGUACAUUAUAAAACAUUCUUGAGGGAGAAUCAAUAUGAACCUAAAUUAAUAGAAAACUAUUUAUGGAGGGAAAGACAGUAUGUAAAGAAGCAAAUUAUCUUCAAUUCAUCUGUAAAUUUACUGCAAUCUCAAUAAAAAGUCAAGUAGAAGCUUUUUUGUUGAAAUUGAUAAGCCAAUAAUAAAUUGUAAAUAUUCAAAGAUCUAAUGAUAGCUAAUGCAAUAUUGAAGAUAAACUGAAAUUUUGGAGAAUCAAGACUUAUUUGAGGAUUGCAGUAAUGAAGACAGUGAUUAAUUGUGCAAGAAUAGACAAACCAUCCAAGAAAACAAAAUAGAGAGCUGAAAAGCAGACCCAGGCUUAUAUUGAUCAGUGAUAUAGGUGGCAUAACAGGAGGGUGACAAAAAGACAGUUAUUUCCAUAAAUUGUACUUCAUCAAUUGUAUAUCUGAGAGAGAGAGAAAGAGAGAGAAAUUGUUUUUAUUCAUAGUAUAAUAUAUAAUUGCUUCUAUUCAUAGAGAGAAAGACAGAGAGAUAACUGUUUCUAUUCAUAGUAUAAGCAUCUUAAUUUCAGGUGGUUUUUAGAUUUUUAUGUGAAAGUUAAAAAUAGUAAAUCCUAAGAGAGGAUAAUAUAGAGGACGUUUUCACCACAUGGGGUAUAUAAAGAUUAAUAAAACUGGACACAAAGUCUCUGAUUAUAAAAAAAAUUGACAAAUAUUUUGACUGUAAGAGAUUAUAUUAAUAAAUACACAAUACAAUUUUAAGAGAAAUGAAAUGAGAAAUGAAAAGAGCAGCAGUAGAGUGGGAUGUCAAAGUACAUAUGACUGACAAAAAAUUACAAAAUCAAGACUAAAAUGGCAUACCACUAGAGCAGCUAUAAAUACAAAGAGUAAAAAUGCUCUUCUGUUUGGAGGACGUGAAGCAUGUUCUUGGGCACUGAUUACGUGAGUAGGUAGCUUUUCCUGAUUAUAUCCUCUGCAGAGUUUUCAUAGUGUAUCAUGUCUAGAUCACAACUGGAAAGAUCUAUGGCAAAUUCAUCAUCUGUCAAUGAGCGCAACCAAUAUUUGUUACAAUUUUACCAUGUUUAAUUGUGAAAGAGUUCUUAGAGCAUCAAAACACAUAUCCAGAAAUACUAUCCUCAAGUACCAGGCAAUAUUUAUUUUUUUUCAGUUACUUUUCUGCCCUAUAUUUAUCACUAAGCUCAUAUGAACUUUUAAUUUUUUAAAAAAACCUUUAGGUGUCUGUUUUACUCAUUCCAGAGAGAAGGAACUUAUUGGCACAUGACUGAUUUAUUAAAUACACUCAAUAAAAGUUGGCAUUUUUACAGUCAGCAAGCUCAAUAAAGUUCACAAAUAAAUCUUCUAUAGUUCUCAUAUUUACAUAUUUCUCAUAUUACUCUUUACCUAGGUAUCUAUCAACUUUGAAAGAUCCAAAAAUAGAACAUGAGGGCCAUAAUUGUCUGGAAAUGAGGAGAGGGUAUAUUUCUUUGUGAGAAUUUUUUGUGUAAAUGAGUAAGUUAAGAUGAUAUUAUAAAACCAAUUAUUAUAAAAUUCCUGAGGAUAUCCUCUAUAGCAUGUACUUUGGCAUUGAUUAUCUAUAUGAGUAGGUAGCUUUUCCUGAUUACAUCCUUUAUAAAGUUUUCAUAGCAUAUCAUAGCUAUGAAAAUAUUUUUCAGAAAAAGAUAAACCACACAGGAAUAAAUGAUAAAGUGAAUGAUAACUUUUCAGUUAAAAAAAGAACUAAAUGUACAAUGAAAUUUGGGACUAAAUAAAUGGCACUUCUGCACAAUUCAGAUCUUUUUCCCCCUUAUGCUGAGCCUACUUUGUUGUUUUGCAUAACCUACAACAUGUAGACAUCUCAGUUAGAGACCUCUAUCCCAUACCCUUUUUCCCCAAAAGUUCUUUCCUUUCAUCAGUGAUGGCUGAGUCGAUUCUUAGACUAGUUCCAAUGUAUUCCCUUGAUGUAAUCAUCAGAUCUGUCUCCCCUCAGCACCUUGUUUGGGGAUGCUUCUCAUUCUCUAUGCCUAGGUACAAUUUCAAAUCCAGAGUUGGAGCUGUCAUCUUCAUAAAUUCUCCUUAGAUUAUAGGAGUUCACAAAAUCUUGUCAUUUCUGUGUACUCUUCUCGGUCUUAAGAAAUGUUUCUCCUGGAAUAACCUGUGGUCACCCUCUGAUAGGUAUGUUCUGUUAUUAUGUUUUUGUGUAAAUUUUGUCAAGCUAAUGUAACUGUGAUUUUAUUUCACAUGAUCUAUAGGGCCUUACACAAACCUGAACCUAAUAAAGACAUGUGGGACAUAAUCUCAAAAUGAUAUCACUGAAACUCAUUUCCAACCCAAUUAAACUGUUCUCCUAGGGUUGGUUGACAGUCCAGAAUUAUUAGGCUUCUCAGUGGAGCCAGAACAAUCUGUCCAGUGAUACUUGAUCCGAUCAAGUGUUUUCAUGGGUGGUUUGGAAACCAUGUCUUGCUUUGCAGAUGUUAUUUAUCACAAAGUUGCCCCUAGCCCUUUAAUGUUGAGGAUUUGAUAUUAGUGGAGUUGUGGAAGUGAAAUUAUUAGGGUGUCCUUAAAGUCCUUUUCCAUAAAUGAAUGAUUUAUUGGAGCAAUGAAAGAAAGGAAUAAGUUUGCCUGCUCAAUAUAGCCCGUCAUUUUUGAUGAAUGUGACUCACCUUUCUGUAAGAAGUUCAAUUUAGCACUGGUACCAAUUCUUGAAUUUUAUAGAGAAGGAAAUUGUAAAAUGUCUUAGAAAUGUGGCCACGGAGAGAACAAACUGAGGUUGAAUGAUGCAAAAUCAGAACUACACUGAAUGCAACGUAAUGCCAAUGCUGUUCAAUGCCAAGAGACUUACAGGAUAAAAUUUGGCUUUUUCCUUUUGAAAUAAUAUUAGCUUGCUAUUGAGUAAAAUCAGGUAGCAACACUUCAUAACUCCAUUACCUACCUGUUUUGUAUUCAUUAAAGUGUGGCUUUCUUGGCCUGACUGUCAGUGGUAUGCUGAGAUGGCUUGCCACAGCUCCAGAGUGCAUUGUAUAUAUUUCUUCUUGACUUCACGUUAAGUGACAUUAUGUUGGUAGCUUGGAAUUGGUCAUGAUGAAGCUAUAUAUACCAGGAAAACUGGCACAUGCUGCAAAUGAAGGCUCCUGCUCUUCCAGAGAUCUAACUGUUAAGUAUUUAUCAGCAUACUACUAACCUGUGUUCAAAGGUUGAACUGCAGAAGCCUCU